CCUACGGGAGGCAGCAGUGGGGAAUAUUGGACAAUGGGCGAAAGCCUGAUCCAGCAAUGCCGCGUGAGUGAUGAAGGCCUUAGGGUUGUAAAGCUCUUUUACCCGGGAUGAUAAUGACAGUACCGGGAGAAUAAGCUCCGGCUAACUUCGUGC
rnacentral:rRNA from 1 species